rnacentral:rRNA from 1 species
UGCGUAGGUGGCCUUUUAAGUUGGAUGUGAAAUACCCGGGCUUAACUUGGGGGUGCAUCUAAUACUGGGAGGCUAGAGUGCAGGAGAGGGAAGCGGAAUUCCUAGUGUAGCGGUGAAAUGCGUAGAUAUUAGGAGGAACACCAGUGGCGAAGGCGGCUUUCUGGACUGUAACUGACACUGAGGCACGAAAGCGUGGGGAGCGAACG